rnacentral:lncRNA from 1 species
AGUCGGAUGCUGAUGCCUCCGCGCCGGGGUUCCCGUGCCCUGGGGAGCCCUUAGCUUUUUGUUUGCCUCCUCAGCGGGAGGCUGUUUUUGUUUAUUUGUUAAAAAAAAAAUAUCUUACUCCCCCUGCGAGGAAUCGGUAAAGGUGAUGAAAACUCCAAACUAAAAUAUCGAAAUGGCCACAGAAUCCGACUUACUGAGAGACCCACGUGAUAAAAUGAAUGAUAUUCCUAGGCAGCUUCAAAUUGAACAUAUUUUAAAAGACCCAAAUAUGCAGAACAGCAUGUCUAAAGGAGGCAGAGGUGAUGUACUAGUAAACUCCACAGAUGAACAAAGUUCUUUACCUCCUCUUAUUGUUGAGUAUGAGAAACAUCUGGAAGAGCUAAGCAGACAAUUGACCUAUUACCAGAAACACAUGGGUGAGAUGAAACUACAACUUGAAACUGUCAUCACUGAAAACGAAAGGUUGCACAGUAAAUUAAAAGAUGCUGUUGAAAAGCAAUUGGAAGCCCUUCCCUUUGGCACAGGGAUAGGAAAUGACAUCUGUGCAGAUGAUGAGACUGUGAGGAACCUUCAGGAACAGUUGCAACUAGCCAAUCAGGAGAAAGCUUGGGCUCUGGAACUCUGGCAGACUGCUUCUCAGGAGUUGGAAAGUAUACGGAAACUCUACCAGGAACAUAUGACUGAAGCCCAGAUUCAUGUAUUUGAAAAUCAAAAGCAAAAGGAUCAGCUGAAUAAUUUUCAACAACUAACCAAGAAACUUCAUGUUGCUAAUGAGAACAUAGAAAUGUGCCCUUUGAAGAUACAACCAACCUGUAUUUGA